UACGGGGGGGGGCAAGCGUUGUUCGGAAUUACUGGGCGUAAAGGGUUCGUAGGUGGCCCGCUAAGUCACACGUGAAAUCCCUCAGCUUAACUGGGGAACUGCGUGUGAGACUGGCAGGCUUGAGUGCAGGAGAGGAACGCGGAAUUCCAGGUGUAGCGGUGAAAUGCGUAGAUAUCUGGAGGAACACCGGUGGCGAAGGCGGCGUUCUGGACUGUAUCUGACACUGAGGAACGAAAGCCAGGGGAGCAAACGGGG
rnacentral:rRNA from 1 species